CCUACGGGGGGCAGCAGUGGGGAAUAUUGGACAAUGGGGGCAACCCUGAUCCAGCCAUGCCGCGUGUGUGAAGAAGGCCCUCGGGUUGUAAAGCACUUUCAGUGAGGAAGAACGCCUGGUGGUUAAUACCCAUCAGGAAAGACAUCACUCACAGAAGAAGCACCGGCUAAUCCGUGCCAGCAGCCGCGGUAAUACGGAGGGUGCGAGCGUUAAUCGGAAUUACUGGGCGUAAAGCGCGCGUAGGUGGCUUGAUAAGCCGGUUGUGAAAGCCCCGGGCUCAACCUGGGAACGGCAUCCGGAACUGUCAAGCUAGAGUGCAGGAGAGGAAGGUAGAAUUCCCGGUGUAGCGGUGAAAUGCGUAGAGAUCGGGAGGAAUACCAGUGGCGAAGGCGGCCUUCUGGACUGACACUGACACUGAGGUGCGAAAGCGUGGGUAGCAAACAGGAUUAGAUACCCUGGUAGUC
rnacentral:rRNA from 1 species